rnacentral:rRNA from 1 species
UACGGAGGGGGCUAGUGUUGUUCGGAAUUACUGGGCGUAAAGCGCACGUAGGCGGCUUUGUAAGUUAGAGGUGAAAGCCCAGGGCUUAACUCUGGAAUUGCCUUUAAGACUGCAUCGCUAGAAUCGUGGAGAGGUGAGUGGAAUUCCGAGUGUAGAGGUGAAAUUCGUAGAUAUUCGGAAGAACACCAGUGGCGAAGGCGACUCACUGGACACGUAUUGACGCUGAGGUGCGAAAGCGUGGGGAGCAAACAGG